UAAGUAGGUAGUGAGAGCGUUCGGCUCAACCGGAUACACAUUACCUAAACUGCUUUAGCUAGAGGAUGAGAGAGGUUAUUGGAAUUCCCUGUGUAGGAGUGAAAUCCGUAGAUAUGGGGAGGAACACCGAUGGCGUAGGCAGAUAACUGGCUCAUUCCUGACACUAAGGCACGAAAGCGUGGGGAGCAAACAGGAUUAGAUACCCUGGUAGUCCACGCCGUAAACUAUGGAUGCUA
rnacentral:rRNA from 1 species